rnacentral:lncRNA from 1 species
GAUGCCGUUGGGGAGGGUAUGGGUUUACCCGGUGUUUGCCUUCCCAGUACCCAUUGAACGCAAUCCCCAAAUCUACCCUUCCCAUAAUUUAUCCAUUAUCCGUUUUACCCAUACCCAGAAAGAUAGAACACAAAUUGGAUCCAACAUUUGUGAUCUCGAUCACAGAACAUAUCACCAAGAAAUAAUCAGAAACAAUCGAAUCAACUUUGAUAAGGUGCAGAUCGAAGAAGAAGAAGAAGAAGAAGAAGAAGAAGAAAGAAAGAAAAAAUGAAUUCCCAAAACUGGAUCGAGAGGCAUCAUUCAGGCCGCCGAACUUCCUCCAUGGCCGGCCAUCACGGCCUGCGGCGGGGGCGGCAUGAGGGACGUCAACGGUGAGGGAGGACCGUCCCCCCCCCCCCCCCCCACCCUCCCCCCUUUGCUGCUCCUCCUCCCUGCGCUUCGCCAUGGACACAUCCCUCUCUGAACAUGCCGCUACGGCACCCACCUGACGAAGAACGAGGCCUGAGCUCUGUGCGGGGAUAGAAGGGGGAAGGGCAAGUCACAGGGAAGUGGGCGGCCGGCGGCACACAAGGGUGGAGGAGCACGGCGGCCGGCGGCGCACAGGGACGGAGCAAAACUCGCCCAGGCGGUGGUUGGAUUGUUGGAUUUGGAGAAGGGGAACGACGUGCGGUCUCUCGAGCAGUCUUGAUGGGUAUUACCCACACCAAAACAUUGCCCAUACCCGACCCAAACGUUUGGGUAUGGAUAAGGGAACGGGUAUUGGAUACCCACCGGCAUCCUGAUGUUGGUCCAAG